rnacentral:rRNA from 1 species
UGCGUAGGCGGAAUAAUAAGUCAGUGGUGAAAUCCUGCGGCUCAACCAUAGAACUGCCAUUGAUACUGUUAUUCUUGAAUUUAGUUGAGGUAGGCGGAAUGUGUAAUGUAGCGGUGAAAUGCUUAAAUAUUACACAGAACACCGAUUGCGAAGGCAGCUUGCUAAACUAAUAUUGACGCUGAUGCACGAAAGCGUGGGGAGCGAACAGGAUUAGAUACCCUGGUAGUCC